AACGAACGCUGGCGGCAUGCCUAACACAUGCAAGUCGAACGAGACCUUCGGGUCUAGUGGCGCACGGGUGCGUAACGCGUGGGAACCUGCCCUUAGGUUCGGAAUAACUCCCCGAAAGGGGUGCUAAUACCGGAUAAUGUCUUCGGACCAAAGAUUUAUCGCCUUUGGAUGGGCCCGCGUUGGAUUAGCUAGUUGGUAGGGUAAAAGCCUACCAAGGCGACGAUGCAUAGCUGGUCUGAGAGGAUGAUCAGCCACACUGGGACUGAGACACGGCCCAGACUGCUACGGGAGGCAGCAGUGGGGAAUAUUGGACGAUGGGCGAAAGCCUGAUCCAGCAAUGCCGCGUGAGUGAUGAAGGCCUUAGGGUUGUAAAGCUCUUUUACACGGGAUGAUAAUGACAGUACCGGGAGAAUAAGCACCGGCUAACUCCGUG
rnacentral:rRNA from 1 species